rnacentral:tRNA from 1 species
AACUCAGUUGGGAGAGCGCAUCGCUGGCAGCGAUGAGGUUAGGGGUUCGAUCCCUCUAAGCU